rnacentral:lncRNA from 7 species
CCCCCAAGCCCUGCACAGUGCCUGUCUGCAGCCACAACUCGAUAUUGGGUUACAACAGGCCUCCAGCUGACCCGACUCUUAUUUGUCCACUGAGGGAGAAAAACAGAGAGAGAAUGAGUGACACUGGAACAUCGGCACUGUUGGUGAAGAAGAAUGUGCCACCCCUGGAGCUCUUGCAGAGCUCACAUCCAAUUCCUUCCUCUCCAUUAUUUCCUUGAAGAAACACUGUAUUUUCUACUAGCAGUUGAUCUGUAAAUAGAACCCUUGGUUGGCAUCACCAACACCUUUGCCUAUAUUUCGGGCUUUUCUUCAGUUAUGUGAGUCAACUAUUUCAUAACCCAGUUCAUGCGUCACCCAACUGUAUGCUUGUAGGGCAAUGGACAUGUCAUCCUUCUGCUCUAACAUGAGUAUCAGCAGUUGCAGUUUGAGUAUGGAAUAAUGGUGUACCCAUGGCAGAUAAGAAAGGAAAUUUUUAGCUUUAGGGUUUAGAAAGAGGUGGGAUCAGGAAAUUUCCUCUGGAGCCCCACAUUUUUUUUUCCUUGAUUUGGAACUGGACAGCAGUGAGCAAAAAAAUGAAACCUCUCAUCAAGUACAAUUCUGAGGCAAAGAGCUCAAAAUAUCCUUUCAGAGCAGUUGAAGUAUUUCAGUUCUGGAAAAUAAAAUUGGUCUUAAUCUUUGUAGUUUUGAUAUUCCUCUUGUAACACCCAUUAUAAAAAUAUACGUUUCUCAUGCAUUUUUUUUAAUACACUUCAAAAACGGGGCAUCUGAAAAUUUUGUUUCUAACCAGAAAAUGUUAACCUUGUCAAAAAUUUAUCUUGAAAUAGACAUUCAUCAAAAUGCAUAUGUGUGCCUGGAGUUUUUCUCUUUCCAUGCAUUGUUAUUUUAUGCGAGAAAAGAUGUUUCCUUGGGAAGUUUCCAAACCACUUUUACUUUAUGAUGUUAUCUGUUUGUAUAGUAUCUGAACACUGGUCCUCUAAAAUUGGUAGCAAUAAACGUUUGUUUAAGUU